rnacentral:misc_RNA from 1 species
GAUGAAGAACGUAGCGAAAUGCGAUAAGUAAUGUGAAUUGCAGAAUUCAGUGAAUCAUCGAAUCUUUGAACGCACAUUGCGCCGGCCAGCAAUCUGGCGGGCAUGCCUGUUCGAGCGUCAUUUCAACCCUCGAGCCCCCCCGGGGGCCUCGGUGUUGGGGGACGGCACACCAGCCGCCCCCGAAAUGCAGUGGCGACCCCGCCGCAGCCUCCCCUGCGUAGUAGCACACACCUCGCACCGGAGCGCGGAGGCGGUCACGCCGUAAAACGCCCAACUUUCUUAGAGUUGACCUCGGAUCAGGUAGGAAUACCCGCUGAACUUAAGCAUAUCAAUAAGCGGAGGA